UUAGACCUAUAAAAGGACUAGAUCUAGACGAUCUGAGUACACGCUCGUGCAGCACCGACCGAUACACAACAUACAAAACGUCACGAUGUUUAAACUGGCAGUAUUCCUCGCCCUGAUCGCCAUGAGCCACGCAGGCGUCAUCGCCCCAGUGGUGGCCCAUCCAGUGGUGCACAGCGCGGUCGUUCACCCCGCCCCGGUCCUGCACGCCGCGCCCAUCGUCCACGCAGCACCUGUCGUGCACACUGCGAGCCUGGUACAUGCAGCUCCUAGUCACCAGUUGUAAAGCAUUCCCCCAUCCUCGUACAUCAUUAGGGAUAGUAAGGAUACUCAUAAAUGGUUGUAAAUGAAAUUUUAAUUUAUAUAUGAAUUGGAUGUGAAUAAAUGUAUUUUUAAUA